CUGUACUGUAUUUGCAUAUACCAUGGCUAAUGUAAGCAAACUAUGUAUAAAAGCCAGCUCUGGAAUACACUCAUUUGAGAGUCUUGUAAAGCUGUUGUCCGUGUGUUAUUGCUUACAAAUGAUUCUCCAUCAACAUUGAUUAUGGUGACCGAGGGAUCGAGAACCGAGGGGAUUAGAGUCCAUUACAACAUUAACCCUUUCAGCUUGGUGUCUAGAAGUGGGAUAGAUGAAGUGGAUCAGCAAAACCAUUUGCGGUGAGUAGCCUUUUUGUGUCUUAUUUGACGCUGAUUGUCUAUGACCCCCCUUUGGUUCAGUAAGACUGUAUCCAGUAGAUAGGAAAGGUGUAAGGACUCUAGUUAUAUUGAGACUAUAAGAGGUCUCCGGUUUAUUAGACAUUUGGUCUAAAUAUAUAUAGGGGUUCUUGGUAACCCAGGUUAGUAUCUAAGAUAGAUACAGGUUUUUGAGACCAUAAGAGGUCUCCGGUUUAUUAUAGGGUUUUGGUAACCCAGGUUAGUAUCUAAGAUAGAUACAGGGUAUCUCAGGUAGAUACAGGUUUUGAGACCAUAAGAGGUCUCCGGUUUAUUAAGUCUAUAGGUGUUCU